rnacentral:misc_RNA from 1 species
GAAAUGCGAUAAGUAGUGUGAAUUGCAGAAUUCAGUGAAUCAUCGAAUCUUUGAACGCACAUUGCGCCCCUUGGUAUUCCAUGGGGCAUGCCUGUUCGAGCGUCAUUUGUACCCUCAAGCUCUGCUUGGUGUUGGGUGUUUGUCCCCGUCUCCGCGCGUGGACUCGCCCCAAAGUGAUUGGCAGCCGGCGUACUGGUCCCGGAGCGCAGCACAUGUCGCGCAAACCAGUGCCUUGGUACGGCGGCGUCCAUAAGCCCCUCUCUCACGCUCUUGACCUCGGAUCAGGUAGGGAUACCCGCUGAACUUAAGC